GACAGAGGGUGCAAACGUUGUUCGGAAUUACUGGGCGUAAAGCGCGUGUAGGCGGUUGUUCAAGUCGGGUGUGAAAGCCUUGAGCUCAACUCAAGAAAUGCACUCGGUACUGGAUGACUAGAGGACCGGAGAGGAUAGUGGAAUUCCCAGUGUAGUGGUGAAAUACGUAGAGAUUGGGAAGAACACCAGUGGCGAAGGCGGCUAUCUGGACGGUUUCUGACGCUAAGACGCGAAAGCGUGGGGAGCAAACAGG
rnacentral:rRNA from 1 species